rnacentral:lncRNA from 1 species
CCGGGAAAAAUUCAGGGAAAAUUAGGGACGGCCUGCAGGCGCACUGUGAAUCAUAUUCGGAUCCCAAAAACAAGUAAGGACCCCUCACCCUAUUUCCUAUCACGGUAUUAAAGUUCAAAAUGAUAAAACGGUAUUUCUUGAAUUAACGCAUGUGUGAAAUUGCUUAAGGUUGCUAAGGGAGCCCGAGUCUAGUGUAAUUGAUGAUUUACUGUUAUUUGGCCUGUUUACAGCUUUAAAUGCAAAAUGAGGUUUGAUGUGUUCAUUUUACAGAUUUAUGUGCAUGUACUACGUUUUUAUUAAUUAUGGGUUGAAUGACUGAAAAACUGAUAUUGUAUGUUGUCUGUUGGUAUGAAUUACGAUUUGCUUGUUUAAAUGUGAAUUGAUGAUGUUGAU